UGGGGAAUAUUGCGCAAUGGGGGGAACCCUGACGCAGCCAUGCCGCGUGAAUGAAGAAGGCCUUCGGGUUGUAAAGUUCUUUCGGUGAUGAGGAAGGCAAACUGUUUAAUAGACAGUUUGAUUGACGUUAAUCACAGAAGAAGCACCGGCUAACUCCGUGCCAGCAGCCGCGGUAAUACGGAGGGUGCGAGCGUUAAUCGGAAUAACUGGGCGUAAAGGGCACGCAGGCGGACUUUUAAGUGAGGUGUGAAAUCCCCGGGCUUAACCUGGGAAUUGCAUUUCAGACUGGGGGUCUAGAGUAUUUUAGGGAGGGGUAGAAUUCCACGUGUAGCGGUGAAAUGCGUAGAGAUGUGGAGGAAUACCGAAGGCGAAGGCAGCCCCUUGGGGAGAUACUGACGCUCAUGUGCGAAAGCGUGGGGAGCAAACAGG
rnacentral:rRNA from 1 species